rnacentral:rRNA from 1 species
UACGAAGGGGGCUAGCGUUGCUCGGAAUCACUGGGCGUAAAGCGCACGCAGGCGGCUUCUUAAGUCAGGGGUGAAAUCCUGGAGCUCAACUCCAGAACUGCCUUUGAUACUGAGGAGCUUGAGUCCGGGAGAGGUGAGUGGAACUGCGAGUGUAGAGGUGAAAUUCGUAGAUAUUCGCAAGAACACCAGUGGCGAAGGCGGCUCACUGGCCCGAUACUGACGCUGAGGCACGAAAGCGUGGGGAGCAAACAGG